rnacentral:rRNA from 1 species
UACGAAGGGGCUAGCGUUGUUCGGAAUCACUGGGCGUAAAGGGCGCGUAGGCGGCCGAUCAAGUCGGGGGUGAAAGCCUGUGGCUCAACCACAGAAUUGCCUUCGAUACUGUUUGGCUUGAGACCGGAAGAGGUUAGUGGAACUGCGAGUGUAGAGGUGAAAUUCGUAGAUAUUCGCAAGAACACCAGUGGCGAAGGCGGCUGACUGGUCCGGUUCUGACGCUGAGGCGGCGGAAAAGCGUGGGGAGCAAACAGG